rnacentral:rRNA from 1 species
UACGUAGGGGGCUAGCGUUGUCCGGAAUUAUUGGGCGUAAAGCGCGCGUAGGCGGUUACUUAAGUCGGAUGUGAAAGCCCUCGGCUUAACUGAGGAAGUGCACCCGAAACUGAGUAGCUAGAGUACGAAAGAGGGUCGCGGAAUUCCCGGUGUAGAGGUGAAAUUCGUAGAUAUCGGGAGGAACACCGGUGGCGAAGGCGGCGACCUGGGUCGAGACUGACGCUGAGGCGCGAAAGCGUGGGGAGCAAACAGG